rnacentral:snoRNA from 1 species
AACCCGUGGUGAGGGUACCUUCGCAAUAGAUCUUUGUAUCUCUCCCAUACAUCAUAGAGUGUUUCUAGAUCCAUCUACACAAAAGAAGAGAUAUCAUUCCUGAACUU